rnacentral:rRNA from 1 species
AUUGAACGCUGGCGGCAGGCCUAACACAUGCAAGUCGAGCGGAGCUGCGGACGGGUGAGUAAUGCCUAGGAAUCUGCCUGGUAGUGGGGGCUCACGUCCGGAAACGGGCGCUAAUACCGCAUACUAUCAGAUGAGCCUAGGUCGGAGUAGCUAGGUGGUGGGGUAAAUGCCUACCAAGGCGACGAACCGGAACUGGUCUGAGAGGAUGGUCAGUCAGACUGGAACUUAGAGAAGGGCAAGCCUCAUACGGGAGGCAGCAGUGGGGAAUAUUGGACAUUGGGCGAAAGCAUGAACCAGCCAUGCCGCGUGUGUGAAGAAGGUCUUCGGAUUGUAAAGCACUUUAAGUUGUGAGGCGUUACCAACAGAAUAAGCACCGGCUAACUUCGUGCCAGCUGCCGCGGUAAUAC